UCACAAACUCAAACGUAGUUCAGUCAGGACCACUUUAGUCAAAGACACUUAUUACAUUGCAGUAAUAUAUACAUUAUAUUUGGCGGUAUGGCUCUGCUCUGGGACCUCCCUGCCCAUCCACGCGCAUGCGUGGAUCCACGAGCCUACGUGGUAGCAUGAGGCAAGGAGAGCACUCCUCCUUGCCCUUCCAUGUGCACACAUGGAAAGCCAAAGGCAGGGAGAGCAGCAGCAAAGACCCCCCUGGGUGCAGAACAGAGCCGGAAUCAAUGACAACAGAAUUGACAUUGAUUAAGUCAUAAACAGUUAGGGGUGGGCGACACAUCGAAUAUAGUCGAUGUAUCGCGGCUUGUCCCCCGCGCGGUACAGAAAACGACUACAUCGCGAACAUCGAACACAAAUUGUCAUGUAAUGUUUCCAAGCCAACCCUUUUUGUAUGAAAGAUUAAAAUUGUUCCAAAGAACCACUAAUGAAUAUCAACAGAGAUUUUAAUGCAGACAUAUGCUGCAGGGACUACAAGAUCAUAAUAUUGGU